GCAAUAAAUCUUGCUGCUGCUCACUUUUUGGGUCCACGCUGCCUUUAUGAGCUAUAACACUCACCACGAAGGUCUGCAGCUUCACUCCCGAAGCCAGCGAGACCACGAACCCACCGGGAGGAAGGAGCAACUCCAGACGCGCCACCUUAAGAGCUGUAACACUCACCGCGAAGGUCCGCAGCUUCACUCCUGAGCCAGCGAGACCGCGAACCCCACCAAAAGGAAGAAACUCCGAACACAUCUGAAGCACUGUAUAGGAUGUCUGAUUACCGUGAGAGCAUGAGCUGUGCUGAAUCUCCAGCUAGCCACAAUGAAAAGCCUUUUGGAGAGAGAAUGUCCAGUCAACCUCCCAGCUGUUCCAGCCUUUCCAACAGAGGUAUCAAACAGAGGAAAAGGCCAUGUGAGGACACAGCAAGAAGGUGGGUGAUUUGCAAGCUAGGAAGAGAGUCUUCACCAGAAACCAAAUUUGCUAGUAUCUUGCUCUUGAAAUUCAAGCCUCCAGAAUCGUGAAAAAUAAGUUGGUUGUUUAAGCCACCCAAUCAGUGGUACUUUGUUAUGGCAGCCCAAGCACACUAAAGCAUCCCCAGUACCUGAUAUGCAUCAUUUUAAUUGCUUGGGUUAUUAUUAACUCUUCUUGUAUUUUCCUGGUUCUUGGAAUAGUUUCUUUGCACAUUCACUCAUUCUGUCACUUUAUGGACUCUUACAGACAUUUUUGUUUAAACAACAUAUUAUCUCAGUGAGAAAUUUGGAGUUCAAGAUGAAUAAGUAAAUUUUCCAGGGUUUAAAAAUACAUUAUUGCUGGUCUAGUUUUGAAUUGUUAGGCUAUUUUACUUAAUUUUAUUCUCAUUUAAAACAAGUAGCCAGAGGAAAAAAUUGUGAAGUACAUAUAUUAGGAGGAUUCUCUCCUGGCUCCAUUAUACUAAGAGCUGGUUACAUAUGUAAGAUAAUUGUUUACCCAUAAGGCCCAUGGAAUAAUAUCCUGUCCCCAUUGAAAGGAAUGUGAGAAAGUAAUUUAUUACUAACUGAGCACUGAGGUAUUUGAUGUCUUUCACUUAUCAUAACUAAGUAAACAGUCUUUAGUUUACAAAUGAGGAAACUUGAUUCAGAGGUGUUUAAUUUUCCAAGCUUAUAUUGAUAAUGGACACAGUAUAUAAGAUUUGAACUUAGAUAUUGCUCCAAAGAUUCUGAUUUUCCAGGAAAAUUUCCUUAUAGUAAGCAGAGUAAAAUUAGCUGUCAAAAUAGGAUGCUUUCUAACCCUCCUGUAAGUGAAUUUGUCAUUUGGAGCAUAUUUUAUUUGUAAACAUUUCAAAUUUCUCAUUUGUGAAAAUGCCAAACAUCCAUACCUGAAAACUUUACAUUUCAUGAAGCAGGCUGUAACGUACCCUUCAGUGAGUUGGGGGUUAAAGUGGGCUUUUCAACAAGCAAGGCAACACUGACCUGCAGGCAGAAUGCUUCAACAAAUCAGUCAGAUUUGCUUACUGGACUCAUGUCUCCUGCUAAAGUCGCUGUCACAGAAUUACUUUUAUUUUGUGCUCACUGUACUAAAUUUUAUUAAUUUUUAAAAAAAUUUUUAGAUGUUUCUGAUUCCAUAGUGUUUAUUAUCCAGUUCUCUUAGCAAAAAAAUUCUGGUAUUUAUAGAAAAUGCAGAAGACAAAUGAUAAGCAAAUAUAUAUCCCUCAGAGAAAAAGAUGCUACAUCCAGAUAUUAUUAUGCAAAUUUGCCAAGCAAGGUCAAAGUGUACUAGUGGGGAAGAUAGAAAAGGAACAGUUAAGGAUAUUAAUUCAAAUCCUGAGAAACUGUUUACUGAUAGGAAAGGUUUAGAUACUAAAAUGAGAUAAAAUCGAUACAAAAUUGUACCAUUUAUCUAUUAAUUGCCUGACUUUGGGUGGGUUAUUAAACUUGGUUUUUAUGUUUAUAAAAUUUGUAUAACAAUAUCUCUCCCUAGGGUUGUUGCAGGUUUAUUUAAAUUACGUACCUCUGUGUUUUGCUCUAUCUUGUGUAAAAACUGAAAAAUGAUUCAGAGAACAGAGAGCAAAGCAAAUAACAUUGGUUUAAAAAGUGUAAAAUAUACCAGGAAUGAGAGAGACUUAUCUCCACUAACCAGGUGGGAAUUGGAACCAAUGUCAAAUUAGCUAAAUAUCUCAAAGGAAAAUACUUAAAACAUAGGUGAAAAAAGAUAAGAGAAUUCUGAAGAAAUAAGGGAUCCUUUUCUUAAAGGAUAAAAAAAUUCAUGAUAUUCCUGCCAGUUACCUGAUGGUAAUAAAAUACAAUGAAAUGAUACCCUAACUCAGGUGGGGUAUCUGAUGAUUGGCAAAUAGGGAAUAUGGAAGU
rnacentral:lncRNA from 1 species